rnacentral:misc_RNA from 1 species
GAUGAAGAACGUAGCGAAAUGCGAUAAGUAAUGUGAAUUGCAGAAUUCAGUGAAUCAUCGAAUCUUUGAACGCCCAUUGCGCCCGUCAGUAUUCUGGCGGGCAUGCCUGUUCGAGCGUCAUUACGCCCCUCAAGUCCCCUGUGGACUUGGUGUUGGGGAUCGGCGAGGCUGGUUUUCCAGCACAGCCGUCCCUUAAAUUAAUUGGCGGUCUCGCCGUGGCCCUCCUCUGCGCAGUAGUAAAACACUCGCAACAGGAGCCCGGCGCGGUCCACUGCCGUAAAACCCCCCAACUUUUUAUAGUUGACCUCGAAUCAGGUAGGACUACCCGCUGAACUUAAGCAUAUCAAUAAGCGGAGGA